rnacentral:rRNA from 1 species
AGAGUGAACGCCGGCGGUAGGCCUAACACAUGCAAGUCGAACGGCAGCACAGUGGUAGCAAUACCAUGGGUGGCGAGUGGCGGACGGGUGAGGAAUACAUCGGAAUCUACCUUUCGUGGGGGAUAACGUAGGGAAACUUACGCUAAUACCGCAUACGCCCUUUGGGGGAAAGCCGGGGAUCGCAAGACCUGGCGCGGAUAGAUGAGCCGAUGUCGGAUUAGCUAGUUGGUGAGGUAAUGGCUCACCAAGGCGACGAUCCGUAGCUGGUCUGAGAGGAUGAUCAGCCACACUGGAACUGAGACACGGUCCGGACUCCUACGGGAGGCAGCGAGUGGGGAAUAGUUGGACAAUGGGCGCAAGCCUGGACUCCAGCAAUGCCGCGUGGUGUGGAAGAAGGCCGUUCGGGUUGUAAAGCUACGUUUAAGUUAGGG